CAGGACAGGUACAGCACAGGCAGCGACAGUGCGAGCUUUCCUCACACCACCCCGUCCAUGUGUUUCAACCCUGACCUGGAGGGACCACCUCUAGA
rnacentral:sRNA from 1 species